rnacentral:lncRNA from 1 species
UGUCACUUUCCACCUGAUCCUUUAAACGGAGUGAAGGUCUUCCUCUUCCUUUACUUCCACCAGCGAGCACUGCAGAAAAUGCUUUCGAAGCUAGAGUGACUGCAUCCAUUCGGACGACAUGCCGUUCACACUCUUCAGGCCAAUUGAACUUUCGUUAAAUCGAUGAGAGGCUUUACGUUUUUCGGUACCUCAAUCCGAAGCAUCGCCUUUACCUUCUCUAGGUCUACAUGUAGACUGCACUGCAGACCGUUCUUGUCGAAUCGUAGCCCAAAUAUUUUAGUUCGGACCGACAAAUAUUGAAUUUGUUCCUAUUUAAUCUUAGUCUUGCCAGCAAAUCUAUCGAAAACAAUCUUCAGACUGCAGUUACUUUUGCUUUGACUUGUCUGAGCGUCGAUCCUCGAGUGUCUUCUACAAUAUUAUACGCCUAAUGCUCAGAUUCAUGGUCAUAAAAUCUGAGAAAGCUGGGGUGUCUGCACUAAGGUAUGUAAGCAGAGGAGCCUCAAGGAGUGUAGGCUUCUCGCAUCACCAGGGAGUAAAAAACUGCUAAAUUAUCAGCACCAACGCUCCCAGGAACGAACCAGAGCAUUGCUGAGUCUGCAAAAUACCUGGGUCUCAUCCUGGACAGGACAUUGAGCAGGUAACAAAAUUCAAAAGAAAGAGUGCGUAAGGCGUACAUUGCCUUCUAUACCUGCAAAGUCCGAUAGGCCUUGGCUGUAUGUCACAGUUGUUAGGCCACACGUCUUUAUGGGGUUAUAGUUUGGUUGCCACCACUUGCGAAAAAAAAUAAUUAUCUCUAAAUUCGGUAGGGUACACAGGGCAUGUACGGAGCACUUUGUACCAUACCAUCCGAGGCUAUUAAUGUCCUCUUGGAUCUACUCCCCUUCACAGAAUGGGACCACACAAUGUCACCUUCGUCGCAGUAAGGCUACAAAAGGUGUCCGAAUGGAUAGUAAUAAGCCACAGGCAUACAAACAUCUUAAGAUGAUUUCGUCUUCCAGAAAAAACGGAUUAUUUCUUAUCAUCCACUGACUACACGGCAGAUUUCAAGAUGGUUAUCCAAGAUAGAAACCUAUGGAACAGAAUAAUACCAGCAAGCGCCGGGCCGAUUUAUUUUUAUACAUAUGUAAAUCCUUUCGCUUACCGGAUCACCGUAUUGUGGUGGUUAUACUCGAGGCUGUCAACUGUCUCAGCUCAAGGGUACUCUCGGACGAUCCUAUCCAUAUCAUUUCGGAUAGCACAAGAGGUGAGAAAAAAAUGGGUUCGGCCUAGCAUUGUCGGGAACACCUUAUUUAUAAAUUGAUCUAAUGCACUAGACUAUCUAUCACCUUACAACGAGUGGGCCACUAUUGCAACCAACGGUUUUGGUUCCGGCCGAAAAAUUACCACAUCAUUUUCGAUAUAUCCGGGAUAAUACCCGCCUUGCCCAAAAAUCGAUGCCAGGGCCUACGACUCGAGGUAACUCGGGAACCACAACGCAUUCCAGGACAACCGACCUGCCCUCCACCUCGAUCACUCGAACGACAAUUCCCUAUUCUGUCACCCGAUCCGCUUCAAGGCCCAAGCCUAUAACAACUGAAGCACUCAAUCUCCUUCUUGCAGUCUGCUGAAACGAUGCCAAAUGCCAGCAAUUAAAUUAUCGGGUGUUUGAGUCCGGUCUGAAACUAUCUGGCCAGCUCCGCUACUGCCGCGACCUCCACACCAGUCAAGUCAGCUUCCAACAAACCUCUGGUCUUAUGACUAAGAGAAAGGACAAACCAGUGUUGACCUCACUGGCUCGAGUCGCCUACCCAAAGCAACUGUAGUGUGACCACUUCCAGCUGGGUGGACGUCCCAUUUCGGAGCUCUCCGGUCUCUGAGACUGGAAUGCCUUUUUAUCCACGCAUCGUACCUCCACGAGCGCUAGACCGUACCGAUUUUCUCUUCGGCAUCUUCACUGCCGGCUACUUCAAAUUUUUUAUUAUUAAAAUCACAACUUAAAAAAGCUAUUAUUUACUUAUUUUACUGGCGUAGACACCGCUUACGCGAUUAUAGCCGAGUUAGCAACAUUGCGCCAGUCGUUUCUUCAUUUUGCCGUUUGGCGCCAAUUGGAAACACCAAUUACAGCCAAGUCCUACCUGGUCUUUCCAACGGAGUGGUGGUAUUCAUCUUCCCCUGAUUCCACCGGCGGGUACUGCAUCUAAAGCUUACAAAGCGGGAGUAUUCUGCUGAACUAUGUCAAUGUCGCCGUAUAUAUAUUAAAGCUCAUAAUUUCAUCGGCAGCGCUAUGCCAGUACGAAUUCGUAGAGGACCUAGAUUAACGGAACGCAAAACUUUUGUCUAAAAAACUCCAAAUGCCGACUAAUGAGAUGUUGUCAUCUAUGCUUCGGUCUGCUAUAUGGGACGGGAACGAUGAGAGACUUGUAGAGCUUGGUUUUCGUUCGUAGGGAGAGAACUUGACUUUUCAUUUGCCUACUCAGUCCAAAGUAGCAGCUGUUAGCGAGAGUAAUUCGUGGCUGACAUUGGUAUUGGUGUUGAUGCUGGUUCCUAUAUAGACGAAAUUAUCUACGACUUCAAAGUAAUGACUGUCAACAGUGACUUAGGAGCCGAAUGCAUCUUGCGUCGUGAAUACAAUGACUGUUUGUGUAAUGACCCAUGUCCUUCGCUUUCUUAUCCAGUCUGGAGAAAACUCACGGCGCGGUUGUUUCUGGCCAAUAAUAUGGAUAUCAGUGGCUUACGCCAGCAGCCUUACAUUCUUAGAGAAGAUUGUACCACCUAUAUUCAACUCUGCAGCUCAUAUUAUUUUCCCCAGUAAUAAGUUAAAAAAGUCCCACGAUAAGGAAUCACCUCUGAAAUCUCGUUGAGUGUCGAACACCUGGGAAAGGUCCUUGCCGAUGCUGACGGUGCUUUUAGUGUUGCUUAACUGUACUAAAGAGUUGACUACCUAUUGGACAUCGCAAGGUGUGGUAAACAUGCAAACGUGCUAUCGUUUGCUUCUUGGCAAUAUUUUUUAACACCUCAUGAUGCUAUCUAUGAGAUCAAGUUUUAUAAUUUUGGUUCAUCGUGAUUUUACUGUUUUAACACUUUUAAAAGUUUCUAAGCGCCUUGCGAUUCUUUACAACUGGAUACUGCGAAGGUCCCGUCGGAGAGCGAUGGGAAAUAUCCAUAAGUCUGUCGUUAGUAAGCCGUUAUAUUCAUCGAGUAACAGACACAAUAAACCGCUCGCUGUUUUCUGCAAAGGUUAGAUUUCCAGUGAUGCAAAAAGAGCGACAAGCUGCAAAGGAAAUGUCACAAAGAAGCGUAUGUAAGCCACCAUGGAUUCAUUCUAUCAAUAUGCAAAAGGUCAACGUUAAGUACCCAGGAGCACGCCACGAUUCUUUUAUUUGGAGCUCACCUAUAGUGAGAAGAGUAACACAGCGUAGUUUUGACAGUGGAAGCCGUCAUAUGUUUUUGACUGAUAAACUUUGAAAACCUUAGGAACUCACUUAUUAAAAAUAAUUGUGAAUCAAUUAGGGCCGUGUUUAAUGACUCCUCUUCCAAACCAACUACAAGGAAGCUAUAAUAGGCAUUGUUUAAAGCGCGUAACCCAGUCGAGCGAUACGUUCUCAAAGGAACUUGACGAUGCCUAUAUCAACAAAGAUUUCUUUUGUAUAACGCUGGAUUCCCUAAUAGCAUAGUGAAUGCGUGCUGCACUCGACUCGGCUAACAUAUUUUGGAAAAAACGAAACGAUAAAAUAAUUAAAACCUAUACUAGCUGUGUUUGCAAAUACAGAAAUACUUACUUUAAAGGCAUUCGCUUGUAUUUGGGCAAUUUCAAUCUUCUACACGUAUUCUCUUACUGCCUCUGAGUGGAGCUUUUGUGGCUUGAGUUGUACGAGUCUAUGCAUGCAUCAAAAAAUCGAUACCAUUUGAAAAUGUACGCAUCCCGAUAAUAAUGCUUUCACCCUCUUCACCUUCCUCAAAGCGCAGUUGCAGUUCCUAGUAUUGAGGAUAAUUUCAGUCUCUUAUAUUUAGCAUUCGCAUCCAUACGGACUGCAUGACCUAGCCUGCGUAGCCGCUGCCCUUUAUUCGCUGAACUAUGUUAAUAUCAUUAUGUAGCUCGUACAGCUCAUCGUUCCAUCGUCUGCGGUAUC